rnacentral:rRNA from 1 species
CCUACGGGAGGCAGCAGUGGGGAAUAUUGGACAAUGGGCGAAAGCCUGAUCCAGCCAUGCCGCGUGUGUGAAGAAGGUCUUCGGAUUGUAAAGCACUUUAAGUUGGGAGGAAGGGCAGUAAGUUAAUACCUUGCUGUUUUGACGUUACCAACAGAAUAAGCACCGGCUAACUUUGUGCCAGCAGCCGCGGUAAUA